ACCUUUUCUCGGCCUUUUGGUUAAGACAAGUUGUAAUAUUUGUUCUUAUCAGUUUAAUAUCUGAUAUGUGAACCAUAUGUUCACUCCGAUAUUAAGUAUAUUUUUUUUAUUUUAU
rnacentral:snRNA from 1 species